rnacentral:rRNA from 1 species
GACGAACGCUGGCGGCGUGCUUAACACAUGCAAGUCGAACGGAAAGGCCCUGCUUUUGUGGGGUGCUCGAGUGGCGAACGGGUGAGUAACACGUGAGUAACCUGCCCUUGACUUUGGGAUAACUUCAGGAAACUGGGGCUAAUACCGGAUAGGAGCUCCUGCUGCAUGGUGGGGGUUGGAAAGUUUCGGCGGUUGGGGCUGGACUCGCGGCUUAUCCGCUUGUUGGUGGGGUAGUGGCUUACCAAGGCUUUGACGGGUAGCCGGCCUGGGAGGGCGAACGGCCACAAUGGGACUAAGAUACGGCCCAGACUGCUACGGGAGGCAGCAGUGGGGAAUAUUGCACAAUGGGCGGAAGCCUGAUGCAGCAACGCCGCGUGCGGGAUGACGGCCUUCGGGUUGUAAACCGCUUUCGCCUGUGACGAAGCGUGAGUGACGGUAAUGGGUAAAGAAGCACCGGCUAACUACGUG